rnacentral:rRNA from 1 species
GACGAACGCUGGCGGCGUGCCUAAUACAUGCAAGUUGAGCGAUGAAGAUUGGUGCUUGCUCCAAUUUGAAGAGCAGCGAACGGGUGAGUAACGCGUGGGGAAUCUGCCUUUGAGCGGGGGACAACAUUUGGAAACGAAUGCUAAUACCGCAUAACAACUUUAAACAUAAGUUUUAAGUUUGAAAGAUGCAAUUGCAUCACUCAAAGAUGAUCCCGCGUUGUAUUAGCUAGUUGGUGAGGUAAAGGCUCACCAAGGCGAUGAUACAUAGCCGACCUGAGAGGGUGAUCGGCCACAUUGGGACUGAGACACGGCCCAAACUCCUACGGGAGGCAGCAGUAGGGAAUCUUCGGCAAUGGACGAAAGUCUGACCGAGCAACGCCGCGUGAGUGAAGAAGGUUUUCGGAUCGUAAAACUCUGUUGGUAGAGAAGAACGUUGGUGAGAGUGGAAAGCUCAUCAAGUGACGGUAACUACCCAGAAAGGGACGGCUAACUACGUG